rnacentral:tRNA from 1 species
GUGAGAUUAAGUUAAUUAGACUGUUUGUUUUCAAAACAUGAAGUAGCUCUUGUGGGCUAUCUUACG